GCCGCCAUAGCUCAGUGGUACGAGCGCCGUCUUGGUAAGACGGAGGCCUCGGGUUCGAUCCCCGAUGGUGGCUCCA
rnacentral:tRNA from 1 species